CUGGCUCCUGGCAGGGAAAAUAGUCUUCCUGGAGCGUGAGGCAGAGACAUGGAAGAGAUGGAGGAAGGUCUCUGUAGCUGAAUUGACUUGGGAUGCAAAGAGGGGCCUGGAAUUACAGGAAACAGAGACAGAGAGAGUUAUCCUGCUCAGUGGCCAGAGAGUUCAGGAUGAAUUAAGGAUACCAAAUGUCAUCGUGGACACUGCUACCGACGGAGACAUCCAGCUUCUGAAAGAGGAGCGUUGGAAGUUAACCCGAAAAUUCUAUGAUAUG